rnacentral:rRNA from 1 species
UGACCUCAAAUCAGGUAGGACUACCCGCUGAACUUAAGCAUAUCAAUAAGCGGAGGAAUUGAAACUAACAAGGAUUCCCCUAGUAACUGCGAGUGAAGCGGGAAAAGCUCAAAUUUAAAAUCUGGCAGUCUUUGGCUGUCCGAGUUGUAAACUAGAGAAGUGUUAUCCGCGCUGGACCGUGUACAAGUCUCCUGGAAUGGAGCGUCAUAGAGGGUGAGAAUCCCGUCUUUGACACGGACUACCAGGGCUUUGUGAUGCGCUCUCAAAGAGUCGGGUUGUUUGGGAAUGCAGCUCAAAAUGGGUGGUAAAUUCCAUCUAAAGCUAAAUAUUGGCGAGAGACCGAUAGCGAACAAGUACCGUGAGGGAAAGAUGAAAAGAACUUUGGAAAGAGAGUUAAACAGUACGUGAAAUUGCUGAAAGGGAAACGCUUGGUCGCGUUAUCCAGGGAUCAACCUUGCUUUUGCUUGGUGUACUUUCUGGUUGACGGGUCAGCAUCAAUUUUGACUAUUGGAAAAAGAUUAGGGGAAUGUGACAUCUUCGGAUGUGUUAUAGCCCUUGGUUGCAUACAAUGGUUGGGAUUGAGGAACUCAGCACGCCGCAAGGCCGGGUAAU